rnacentral:rRNA from 1 species
GACGUAGGGCGCGAGCGUUGUCCGGAUUUAUUGGGCGUAAAGAGCUCGUAGGCGGCUUGUCGCGUCGUCCGUGAAAACCUGCGGCUCAACUGCAGGCUGGCGGUCGAUACGGGCAGGCUGGAGUUCGGUAGGGGAGACGUGGAAUUCCUGGUGUAGCGGUGAAAUGCGCAGAUAUCAGGAGGAACACCGGUGGCGAAGGCGGGUCUCUGGGCCGAUACUGACGCUGAGGAGCGAAAGCGUGGGGAGCGAACAGG